rnacentral:sRNA from 1 species
CAACGAAAUCCACCCUUCGGGUGGGUGAAAUACUGCUUCGCAGUAUGAAAUACGCCUGCGGCGUGUGAAAUG